UAGAGUUUGAUCAUGGCUCAGAACGAACGCUGGCGGCAGGCCUAACACAUGCAAGUCGAGCGCCCGCAAGGGAGCGGCAGACGGGUGAGUAACGCGUGGGAACGUGCCCUUUGGUUCGGAAUAUUCCCGGGAAACUGGGAGCAAAACCGGAUAAGCCCUUCGGGGGAAAGUUUACGCCAAAGGAUCGGCCCGCGUUAGAUUAGGUAGUUGGUGGGGUAACGGCCUACCAAGCCUACGAUCUAUAGCUGAUCUGAGAGGAUGAUCAGCCACACUGGGACUGAGACACGGCCCAGACUCCUACGGGAGGCAGCAGUGGGGAAUCUUGGACAAUGGGCGCAAGCCUGAUCCAGCCAUGCCGCGUGGAUGACUGAAGGCCCUAGGGUUGUAAAGUCCUUUCGACGGGGACGAUAAUGACGGUACCCGUAGAAGAAGCCCCGGCUAACUUCGUGCCAGCAGCCGCGGUAAUACGAAGGGGGCUAGCGUUGUUCGGAUUUACUGGGCGUAAAGGGCGCGUAGGCGGAUUUUUAAGUCGGGGGUGAAAUCCCGGAGCUCAACUCCGGAACUGCCUUCGAUACUGAAAGUCUGGAGCACGGUAGAGGUGAGUGGAAUUCCGAGUGUAGAGGUGAAAUUCGUAGAUAUUCGGAGGAACACCAGUGGCGAAGGCGGCUCACUGGACCGUUGCUGACGCUGAGGCGCGAAAGCGUGGGGAGCAAACAGGAUUAGAUACCCCGGUA
rnacentral:rRNA from 1 species